AUGUUGGCGGCUCGCCGCCACGCCGCCUCCACUUCCGGUCCCCUCCUCCUCCGGCGCCUCUCCGCCCAGCCCAAGCCCAAGGCCCCUGCGCCAUCACCUCCUCCGCCUCCGCCGUCGGACGAGGGGGCCGCAGCGUGGGCCCGUCGCGCGGCCGCGCUCUCGCUGCUGGGGCUCACCGGCGCCGUCGCCGCCAGCGCCUUCAGCGACCUCUCCGUCUUCCUCUCCUGCUCCAGCCAGGCAAUGGAGAAGGCUACCAAGAACAAGCAGGUAGCGAGCGCGAUCGGCGAGCCCAUCACGCGGGGUCCCUGGUACAGCGCGUCCAUCGCCGUGAACCGCGCGAGGCGCUCCGUCUCGUGCACUUUCCCGGUGUCGGGGCCCCAAGGCGACGGGCUUCUCAAGUUCAAGGCUGUUCGCUUGGGAGGUGUGUGCCGGUUGACAGCUUGA
rnacentral:rRNA from 1 species